GUCGCGAUGGCCGAGUGGUUAAGGCGAUGGACUCGAAAUCCAUUGGGGUUUCCCCGCGCAGGUUC
rnacentral:tRNA from 1 species